GAUGAACGCUGGCGGCGUGCCUAAUACAUGCAAGUCGAGCGAACAGACGAGGAGCUUGCUCCUCUGACGUUAGCGGCGGACGGGUGAGUAACACGUGUAUAACCUACCUAUAAGACUGGUAUAACUUCGGGAAACCGGAGCUAAUACCGGAUAAUAUAUUGAACCGCAUGGUUCAAUAGUGAAAGACGGUUUUGCUGUCACUUAUAGAUGGAUCCGCGCCGCAUUAGCUAGUUGUUCAGGUAACGGCUUACCAAGGCGACGAUGCGUAGCCGACCUGAGAGGGUGAUAGGCCACACUGGAACUGAGCCACGGUCCAGACUCCUACGGGAGGCAGCAGUAGGGAAUCUUCCGCAAUGGGCGAAAGCCUGACGGAGCAACGCCGCGUGAGUGAUGAAGGUCUUCGGAUCGUAAAACUCUGUUAUUAGGGAAGAACAAAUGUGUAAGUAACUAUGCACGUCUUGACGGUACCUAAUCAGAAAGCCACGGCUAACUACGUG
rnacentral:rRNA from 1 species